ACGAAGAACCCGAGGGUUUCACCCGCCGUCGCACCUCCGUCCCUCCGCCGCCGCCGCCGCGCCCCCGUCCCUCCGUCACCGUCGUCCCUCCACUCUGCGGUGCCCGUCCUCCAUCCGCGGUCACCAAAUCCGAACGAGAUCCGCAACAUCCGCCGCAUCUCGCGCGACACCCAGCCGCAGCUGCUCGUCGGCCAUGCGGGGAGCACGGACGAGCUGCCCGUCGACGUCCAUCCCGCAGCCCCGUUGACGACGGUGCCCAGCCUCCUACACAGCGGGCGCCUCCUACUUGCCACAAGGGUGUGAACGGGAACAGCGAGUAUGCUACGCCGAAAAGCGAUACAGGGGCAUGAAGCAAGCGAGCAGGUGUGCGCAGCGACCUCCUACUGCACUAAUAGCCUUGACGGAGCACCGGGGGGCUCGACAGUGCAUGCCGCCCGCCGGUGGACGCCUGGAUGUGCGCGAUGGAGAUGAACCCCAUGUCAUCGCCUCUGUAGCCUGGACAGAGCUCCGCCAGUGCCGGUGAUGAACCCCACAUCUGUGCUGGUGAUGGCGCUCUCCAUCUACUUUCUCCACUGGCUAUCAGAGAGUAGAGUUCACAUUGUGGAUUUUUUUUCUUCAGAGAUGUGCUUCGGUCGUUGUUAGCUGUCGAAUUUGUGAUGCAAUCCAUCCCUAUGUCGAUGCCCAAUCAGCAGAACAAAGCAGCUGCCGCAAUUUAUCGAUUGGUUUCUUGGAGUGAUUCAAACAUAGGAAAGCCUGCUACUUGUGCAAGAAACGGGUUAAGAAAUUUCAGUUUUCUUGUAUUUCUCCGUACUGCGGACUUCACCGGAAUUAUGUCGGCCCGUGUAGCCAAGCCGAGAAGAGAACAAGUAGUACGUCUCUUCCUAGACAACCUGAAUCUGAACGACUACGACUGCUGUGUACCAAUCUGACUAUGCAAGUGCAAGUGCAACUACAUUGGUUGGAUGCAAGGAAGGCAGAAUCAUCCGUGUGAAGCCAAUAUGACAAGGCUCAGUCUGCACAAGAUGCAUAUGGAAACGCAAAUAUUUCCUCAUGCUCAGUGUAGAGUAUGCAAACUUCACACUGGAAAUAAAAGAUUGACAUGAGUUUCCUCGCUGGAAAGCGGAAAGAUUGACGCGCACAGUCCCAACACUGGAACCCGAAGGAAUUGACCUGCUAUAGGAAAUAGACCGACAUGGGGAGGACUGGAAGGGCGCGGAGGGGCACCGACGGUAGAGAGGGCGGAGCAGCAGCUCGAAGUGGGAUGCAUGCGUGUGUACAGAGGUGUUGCUUGCAUUUUCUGAACUUUUGGUGAUUUUUGUCAGGGACAAUCACUUGAGUGAUUGCAGUAAACGUACAGAUUAUAGAAUGCCAUUUCUUCUUCAAUAUCUCCUUGAAGUUCUGUACUAAAUACUAAGGUCUACAGGGCUGCACUUGGUCAUUCAACACUGAAGGUCAAUGUUGCACUAAGGCUGGUUGGGUUCUGAACAUGCAAUAAAAGGAAGAAAAGUUAGCAAGGAUUACAGAUCUUGCUUCAAGAAAAAUGUUGACUAAUUGUUUUGACGCAUCAUUAGCUCUGACAGGAAAAAGAAUCUGUAGGAAUUGCAGGAUUUCUUGAAUUACAUCAUUAGCAGAUGGCAAAGCCUUGAGGCUACCACUAGGAAUGAAGAAAAAAUGUGAAGAUGACUGGUUAAGGAAAUAGCAAGACUUGCAUAUUGGCAUGAAUU